GAUGAACGCUGGCGGCGUGCCUAAUACAUGCAAGUCGAGCGAACGGACGAUAAUCUUGCUUCUCUGAUGUUAGCGGCGGACGUGUGAGUAACACGUGGAUAACCUACCUAUAAUACUGGUAUAACUACGGAAAACCGGAUCUAAUACGAUAUAAUCUUUUGAACCGCAUGGUUCAAAAGUGAAAUACGGUCUUGCUGUCACUUAUAGAUGGAUCCGCGCUGCAUUAGCUAGUUGUUACGUUAACGGCUUACCAAGGCAACGAGGCAUAGCCGACCUGAGAGGGUGAUAGGCCACACUGGAACUGAGCCACGGUCCAGAGGCCUACGGGAGGCAGCAGUAGGGAAUCUUACGCAAAGGGCGAAAACCUGCCGGAGCAACGCCAAGUGAGAGAUGACGGUCUUCGGAUCGUAAAGCCCUGUUAUGAGGUAAGAACAUAUGUGUAAGUAAAUGUAGAGAUAUUGACGGUACCUACUCAGAAAGCAACGGCUAACUACGUG
rnacentral:rRNA from 1 species